ACAUUUCAAUCCUGGCUCAGGAUGAACGCUAGCGAUAGGCUUAACACAUGCAAGUCGAGGGGCAGCACAAGGUAGCUUGCUAUCUGGGUGGCGACCGGCGCACGGGUGCGUAACGCGUAUGCAACUUGCCCUAUACAGGAGGAUAACCCGUCGAAAGACGGACUAAUACUGCGUAUGCUCACAACUUGGCAUCAAGAAGUGAGGAAAGAAAUUCGGUAUAGGAUAGGCAUGCGUCCCAUUAGCUUGUUGGUGAGGUAACGGCUCACCAAGGCAACGAUGGGUAGGGGAACUGAGAGGUUUAUCCCCCACACUGGUACUGAGACACGGACCAGACUCCUACGGGAGGCAGCAGUGAGGAAUAUUGGUCAAUGGGCGAGAGCCUGAACCAGCCAAGUCGCGUGAAGGAUGACUGUCUUAUGGAUUGUAAACUUCUUUUAUACGGGAAUAACAAGAGUCACGUGUGACUCCCUGCAUGUACCGUAUGAAUAAGCAUCGGCUAACUCCGUGCCAGCAGCCGCGGUAAUACGGAGGAUGCGAGCGUUAUCCGGAUUUAUUGGGUUUAAAGGGUGCGUAGGCGGUUUGUUAAGUCAGCGGUGAAAUCUAGAGGCUCAACCUCGAAACUGCCGUUGAAACUGGCGAACUUGAGUGUAGAUGAGGUAGGCGGAAUUCGUGGUGUAGCGGUGAAAUGCAUAGAUAUCACGAGGAACUCCAAUUGCGAAGGCAGCUUACUAAGGUACAACUGACGCUGAAGCACGAAAGCGUGGGUAUCAAACAGGAUUAGAUACCCUGGUAGUCCACGCAGUAAACGAUGAUAACUGGGCGUAUGCGAUAUACAGUAUGCUCCUAAGCGAAAGCGUUAAGUUAUCCACCUGGGGAGUACGCCGGCAACGGUGAAACUCAAAGGAAUUGACGGGGGCCCG
rnacentral:rRNA from 1 species